AACGCGUGAGGAACCUGCCUCAAAGAGGGGGACAACAGUUGGAAACGACUGCUAAUACCGCAUAAGCCCACGGCUCGGCAUCGAGCAGAGGGAAAAGGAGCAAUCCGCUUUGAGAUGGCCUCGCGUCCGAUUAGCUAGUUGGUGAGGUAACGGCCCACCAAGGCGACGAUCGGUAGCCGGACUGAGAGGUUGAACGGCCACAUUGGGACUGAGACACGGCCCAGACUCCUACGGGAGGCAGCAGUGGGGAAUAUUGCACAAUGGGGGAAACCCUGAUGCAGCGACGCCGCGUGGAGGAAGAAGGUCUUCGGAUUGUAAACUCCUGUUGUUGAGGAAGAUAAUGACGGUACUCAACAAGGAAGUGACGGCUAACUACGUGCCAGCAGCCGCGGUAAAACGUAGGUCACAAGCGUUGUCCGGAAUUACUGGGUGUAAAGGGAGCGCAGGCGGGAGAACAAGUUGGAAGUGAAAUCCAUGGGCUCAACCCAUGAACUGCUUUCAAAACUGUUUUUCUUGAGUA
rnacentral:rRNA from 1 species